UACGUAGGGGGCAAGCGUUGUCCGGAAUCAUUGGGCGUAAAGAGCUCGUAGGCGGUCUGUCGCGUCGAUCGUGAAAACUUGGGGGCUUAACCCUGAGCUUGCGGUCGAUACGGGCAUGACUGGAGUUCGGCAGGGGAGACUGGAAUUCCUGGUGUAGCGGUGAAAUGCGCAGAUAUCAGGAGGAACACCGGUGGCGAAGGCGGGUCUCUGGGCCGAUACUGACGCUGAGGAGCGAAAGCGUGGGGGAGCGAACAGG
rnacentral:rRNA from 1 species